rnacentral:rRNA from 1 species
AGAGUUUGAUCCUGGCUCAGAACGAACGCUGGCGGCAGGCUUAACACAUGCAAGUUGAACGGGAUUUGUGUGGUGCUUGCACCAUAUAAUGAGAGUAGCGCACUGGUGAGUAACACGUGGGAACGUACCUUUUGGUGGGGGACAACAUCUGGAAACGGAUGCUAAUACCGCAUAAGACCUGAGGGUGAAAGAUUUAUCGCCGAAAGAACGGCCCGCGGAAGAUUAGGCAGUUGGUGGGGUAAAGGCCUACCAAACCUACGAUCUAUAGCUGGUCUGAGAGGACGAUCAGCCACACUGGAACUGAGACACGGUCCAGACUCCUACGGGAGGCAGCAGUGAGGAAUAUUGGUCAAUGGGCGAGAGCCUGAACCAGCCAAGUCGCGUGAGGGAAGAAUGGUCUAUGGCCUGUAAACCUCUUUUGCCAGGGAAGAAUAAAAGGUACGUGUACCUUCUUGCCAGUACCUGACGAAUAAGCAUCGGCUAACUCCGUGCCAGCAGCCGCGGUAAUACGGGGGAUGCGAGCGUUAUCCGGAUUUAUUGGGUUUAAAGGGCGCGUAGGCGGGACGCCAAGUCAGCGGUAAAAGACUGCAGCUAAACUGUAGCACGCCGUUGAAACUGGCGACCUCGAGACGAGACGAGGGAGGCGGAACAAGUGAAGUAGCGGUGAAAUGCUUAGAUAUCACUUGGAACCCCGAUAGCGAAGGCAGCUUCCCAGGCUCGAUCUGACGCUGAUGCGCGAGAGCGUGGGUAGCGAACAGGAUUAGAUACCCUGGUAGUCCACGCCGUAAACGAUGCUCACUGGUUCUGUGCGAUAUAUUGUACGGGAUUAAGCGAAAGUAUUAAGUGAGCCACCUGGGGAGUACGUCGGCAACGAUGAAACUCAAAGGAAUUGACGGGGGCCCGCACAAGCGGAGGAACAUGUG